rnacentral:misc_RNA from 1 species
AAAUGCGAUAAGUAAUGUGAAUUGCAGAAUUCAGUGAAUCAUCGAAUCUUUGAACGCACCUUGCGCUCCUUGGUAUUCCUUGGAGCAUGCCUGUUUGAGUAUCAUGAAAUCUUCAAAGUAAAUCUUUUGUUAACUCAAUUGGUUUCUACUUUGGUAUUGGAGGUCUUUGCAGCUUCACACCUGCUCCUCUUUGUUCAUUAGCUGGAUCUCAGUGUUAUGCUUGGUUCCACUCGGCGUGAUAAGUUAUCUAUCGCUGAGGACACUGUAAAAGGUGGCCAAGGUAAAUGCAGAUGAACCGCUUCUAAUAGUCCAUUGACUUGGACAAUACUUUUAUGAUCUGAUCUCAAAUCAGGUAGGACUACCCGCUGAAAUUAAGC